rnacentral:tRNA from 1 species
GGAUGAAGAAGCUGGGCGGAUUCAGCUCCGUAUCGAAAGUGUCGGGUUCGCAAGUUCAAAUCUUGCUUCAUCCACCA